GGAUAUGUGGCUAUAUGAGAUAUAGACACCUAGCCCACUAAGUUCCACUAAUUGUUAGUGGAAUAUUAGGUGUUGAGAUUUGGCAAUUGAAUUGCAUGCAUUUUUGCAUGUAAUUAGGCUAUAAAUAGAGAUGUUUUCAAAUGUUGAAGGACUUUUGCCUCUUUUAUCAUUUUCAUAAUCUCAACAAAAGAAGAAAAAAACUUCCAAUCUCAUUUUAUCUCCAUUAUUUUCUACACCAAAAUUGGGUCCCACAACCCGGUUCUUUGUCUAGAGGAUAGCAGUUGAGUACUAGUGGUGGUCUCGGGUAGAAUUGGUAAGAAGACAUCAAACCUUUUGUAAGCUUCAAAGGUAAUACUUCUUAAAACCCUAAUUUGAUUAGUUUAUGGUUACAUGUUAAUUGUGGCAAUUAGGGUAGAAAUUCGAUUCUUUUUCCGCUGUGCAUGACUUAGUUCUAUCAGGAGAAAUCUAAACGUAUACAAAUAUUUCCAUUGAUCCAAUUGUGCAUAACGUGUUUUCCAAGGCAAUCAAUGUUUUUCCUUCAAUAUGCACAUUUAACAUCAUAUAAAGCAUUGCAAACAUAUGAUUGGAUUGUUCCUAAAUUAAAGACACGUUUAAAAGUUCAGAAACCAUGUAUAAGAACGCACAUACAAGAGUUUACACACUGUGUGAAAUUCGAUUGCAACUAGUGUGGGAGAUGUAGAGAAAAAGAUAUGAGAUUUUUCUUGAUCCCUUCAAUUAUGUUUUAUUUUAUAUAAAUAACAUUUGAAACUAUAUGCAAUGGCAUGCUCUAGCUAAACCAUGCAUUAAUAUUUCAUUUCAAAAUAUCUUUUCUAGUUCCAAGGAAAGCACAUAUUAUAAGUUCCAGUGUCUUUUGGGUGCAUCAAACAAGGGCCAUCUCGAUAAAUUUCCCACGAGCAAUUAGUGCAACGAUUCAUGUCCCUGUGAAAGUUAUAGAUGGUGAAGUUGUGCAUCUCGCCUUGCACAAAUUCAAAGCCGCAAGUAAAUUCUGUUGUGCCCCAAAUAUUAGGUUUAAAGUGAAAGGAGUAACUACGUCCAGACUCAAGGGAAUGGACUCCCAAGUCAUCGUCCUUUGACCUACAGUGAACGCCUAGCACUGGGCCAGCCAAUUUAUUAAUAGUGGUCACUGUUGUUUCAGGUGGACCAAUUGAGAUUAAUUCUUCAUCAGCAUAUAGCGUGAUGAAAAGUAUUUGUAAAACCAAGAAUGCAAGUGCCAACGAGGAAUUCAUUAUGCUUUCGAAUCGAGAGAGAAAGAUAAGUAAUGUCCAAAGGACUAUGCUUUUCUUUUGUUGUUGGACACAAUGGAAUGUUUCGAAACAUCACACAGACAUAUAUAGGAGAGUAAAGGAAUACAAAUCUUUUUUCAAAUGGUUAAAUGGUAAUUUUGUGAUCGUUAUGCAACUUUUCAUUUUAGAAGCAGGAACCGCGAUAGUUUGAAUCAAAUGGUGAAAGAGCGCAUUAAACAACUACAUAUUGGUAGUGACAUUCCACAAUUAAUAAAAGAAAAAGAAAAUAAGUUGUAAAACAAUUCACGAAAUGAUUGUUAUGUUUAACCACAUGAGGUUAAUUUUUACAUCCCAACUCAACACUAUUCCUUUUCCGUUUGUUUUGUCUUCUCUUUUUCUUCAAGUUACGUACUAAUAAGGAUGGUUGGAAGACAAUAAAUUAGGGAAAGAGUGUGGGUUUAGGUUACAUUUCAGCAUUUAGUUAAAUUAUAGGUUGAUACGCUUUUUAAUUUGUAUUGUGUAUAUACAAAAUAACAUAUCUUGUUGUUGGUAUUUUAUUAAUGCCACAUCAAAUUUCUAAUUAGGAGAUUCUUCAACCUGUAUGUUUAGUUAGUCCGUGCUUGGAUUGGAAUGUUGGGUUGAUUAAUUUAAAUCUUAAAAUAAUAAUUGUAUCGAUUUAAAUCCUAAACUUCGCCGGGUGUAUCAAUUUAAACCUCAACUAAACUAAUAAUAGUAUCGAUUUGAACAUUGCACUUCAAUUAGUCUAUCAUUCACCUCCUCUUCAACUUCUUCCCCCCCUCUUCCUCCCCUUACCAUCAUGCAAACGUUUAACAUGAAACAUCUUUACCAACACAUUUUUCAAUGUGCAUCACUCAAGCAAAAUGAAAUACAUCGUCCGACAUAAAAGAUAGGUGGUAACUUAAUUAUUUCCAUUAGAUGUUGUUCACCAUCACAUUCGAUUAAUAUAUAUGUAUAUACAUAAACGAUCUGUAACUGUGUGCUUGCUUGCCAAUAUUUUCCUUCGCUGCCUUGUGGGGCAUAAAACAAAAUAUUUUGAGGUUACACCAAAACGGUCUAGUGAGUGGAGGUUUUCAUCAACACAUUUAAUAGAACACACUCUCGCCAUAACGCAUUACAAAAGUUCUUUCCACAACACCACGCAAUAUAAAUAAGUACGCAUUUCAAUAGAAAUAUGAGUUUAAAUUGGAAAAUCAUUCCGCUGCGUUUGGCGAUUUACACAUUCAAAUCUCAUUGGCAAAUAUUCAUAGCAACCCAUUUCCUUGCAAAUUCAUUUCAUCAUAAAAUCACAUCGCAUGGGAGAGCAUUUCGCAUAACAAUUUCCAUCUUUCGUACCAUGCUAAGCUCAAGAGUCAACACGCUCUUAUCGCUGAGUUGCAGCUGUACGGAGAAAUCUAAACGUAUACAAAUAUUUCCAUUGAUCCAAUUGUGCAUAACGUGUUUUCCAAGGCAAUCAAUGUUUUUCCUUCAAUAUGCACAUUUAACAUCAUAUAAAGCAUUGCAAACAUAUGAUUGGAUUGUUCCUAAAUUAAAGACACGUUUAAAAGUUCAGAAACCAUGUAUAAGAACGCACAUACAAGAGUUUACACACUGUGUGAAAUUCGAUUGCAACUAGUGUGGGAGAUGUAGAGAAAAAGAUAUGAGAUUUUUCUUGAUCCCUUCAAUUAUGUUUUAUUUUAUAUAAAUAACAUUUGAAACUAUAUGCAAUGGCAUGCUCUAGCUAAACCAUGCAUUAAUAUUUCAUUUCAAAAUAUCUUUUCUAGUUCCAAGGAAAGCACAUAUUAUAAGUUCCAGUGUCUUUUGGGUGCAUCAAACAAGGGCCAUCUCGAUAAAUUUCCCACGAGCAAUUAGUGCAACGAUUCAUGUCCCUGUGAAAGUUAUAGAUGGUGAAGUUGUGCAUCUCGCCUUGCACAAAUUCAAAGCCGCAAGUAAAUUCUGUUGUGCCCCAAAUAUUAGGUUUAAAGUGAAAGGAGUAACUACGUCCAGACUCAAGGGAAUGGACUCCCAAGUCAUCGUCCUUUGACCUACAGUGAACGCCUAGCACUGGGCCAGCCAAUUUAUUAAUAGUGGUCACUGUUGUUUCAGGUGGACCAAUUGAGAUUAAUUCUUCAUCAGCAUAUAGCGUGAUGAAAAGUAUUUGUAAAACCAAGAAUGCAAGUGCCAACGAGGAAUUCAUUAUGCUUUCGAAUCGAGAGAGAAAGAUAAGUAAUGUCCAAAGGACUAUGCUUUUCUUUUGUUGUUGGACACAAUGGAAUGUUUCGAAACAUCACACAGACAUAUAUAGGAGAGUAAAGGAAUACAAAUCUUUUUUCAAAUGGUUAAAUGGUAAUUUUGUGAUCGUUAUGCAACUUUUCAUUUUAGAAGCAGGAACCGCGAUAGUUUGAAUCAAAUGGUGAAAGAGCGCAUUAAACAACUACAUAUUGGUAGUGACAUUCCACAAUUAAUAAAAGAAAAAGAAAAUAAGUUGUAAAACAAUUCACGAAAUGAUUGUUAUGUUUAACCACAUGAGGUUAAUUUUUACAUCCCAACUCAACACUAUUCCUUUUCCGUUUGUUUUGUCUUCUCUUUUUCUUCAAGUUACGUACUAAUAAGGAUGGUUGGAAGACAAUAAAUUAGGGAAAGAGUGUGGUUUAGGUUACAUUUCAGCAUUUAGUUAAAUUAUAGGUUGAUACGCUUUUAAUUUGUAUUGUGUAUAUACAAAAUAACAUAUCUUGUUGUUGGUAUUUUAUUAAUGCCACAUCAAAUUUCUAAUUAGGAGAUUCUUCAACCUGUAUGUUUAGUUAGUCCGUGCUUGGAUUGGAAUGUUGGGUUGAUUAAUUUAAAUCUUAAAAUAAUAAUUGUAUCGAUUUAAAUCCUAAACUUCGCCGGGUGUAUCAAUUUAAACCUCAACUAAACUAAUAAUAGUAUCGAUUUGAACAUUGCACUUCAAUUAGUCUAUCAUUCACCUCCUCUUCAACUUCUUCCCCCCCUCUUCCUCCCCUUACCAUCAUGCAAACGUUUAACAUGAAACAUCUUUACCAACACAUUUUUCAAUGUGCAUCACUCAAGCAAAAUGAAAUACAUCGUCCGACAUAAAAGAUAGGUGGUAACUUAAUUAUUUCCAUUAGAUGUUGUUCACCAUCACAUUCGAUUAAUAUAUAUGUAUAUACAUAAACGAUCUGUAACUGUGUGCUUGCUUGCCAAUAUUUUCCUUCGCUGCCUUGUGGGGCAUAAAACAAAAUAUUUUGAGGUUACACCAAAACGGUCUAGUGAGUGGAGAUUUUCAUCAACACAUUUAAUAGAACACACUCUCGCCAUAACGCAUUACAAAAGUUUUUUCCACAACACCACGCAAUAUAAAUAAGUACGCAUUUCAAUAGAAAUAAUUCCCAAAAAAGAAUGAAUAGUUAGUUAUAAAGAAAGCUAAAGUGUAGACAAAAGAAGUGUUGUGUUUUUAACAUUUUUAAUACAUAACACAUAUAUAUACAUAUAUUGAUCUAACUUUUGAAUUAGAAGAGUAUAUAUAUAACAAGAUCAAAAUAAAUUAGGAUUUGAAGUAUCACACCAUAUAUGUACAAAAUAAUCAAACAACAACAAUAUUGUAAUUAGAGUUAUAUAUUAUAUUAUGAUCACUAUCAACUCAAAUGAUUUAGCAUCUAAAUUUGUUUAUCACAUAAAAUGAGUUUCGCAAUAGAUGGGAAUUAACAAUUAUUUACUCACCUGUGAAGAACAAAUGACCGUUGAAAAGGUCAAAAUAUCCAAUUAUACGUCUUUAAAUCUUGUUCGAUCAAUCUAGUUAAAUUCAAUUUACAAGCAUAUAUACAUAUAUAAUAGGGAGAAAUUCAAAGUUUGAAACAUAAAUUUAAUUAAUUAAAACAAGUUUUUCAAAAGAGUUUACAACAAACUUUACCUUUAAAAGGAGUUUGAUAAAGGACUUCAAGCGUGAAAGUCCAAAAUCACAAACCUAAAUAAAAUACCACCAGAUAUGUACCACAUUAAUUGAUCAAAGCAAACACACACACUAGAGAGAGGGAGUAGGAAAAUGGGAAGGAACUAGCACCAUCACUAAGAAAAUGAUUUAAGUAUCAACAAAAAGUCAAUAUUCUCCAAGUAAAAACAUGAUAACUAAUCAUAAAGAAUUAUGAUUAUGUUUUAACUAAUCAAAAUUUUAUUCAAAUGGUCUUAUCCCCUACCUCAAAAGAAAGUUAACUAAUAAAAUUAGAACCAUUAAAAUAAAAUCUAGUUCACCAGGAUUCCACUAUAAUAACAUUCUAAAAUGAUUUCCUCCUAUGUACAUUCAAUAAUCAAGAUUUCCUCCAAUGGGCAUUUCAUCAAACAAUUGGUGGGCAACACAAAAGAAAGAAUAUUCAUUUACUUAAUGGCAGCCAGAAAUCUAGAAAAAUUAAGGAAUAAAUACAAAAAUUUGUGAAGAACAUGUCUUAGAUGCAAUGUUGAGAAUUGAGUUUCAAGUUUAAUUGAAAAAAUUGACAGGAGCAAGAACUCGAUUCUUCUUAAAUUUCGACCAUGGGAUUUUGUGUCCAGAAACCACUUUGCAAUCUAGCAAAUAGCCUAAAGCUUUAUUCAAAUGCUAUAAAACUAUCUUUUUUAGGAUGACUUACUCAAAGAAAAGUACAGAGAGUAACGAUUCAAAACCUUUCAACCCUUUCUCUUAGAGACCUAAACUAACAUUCAUCCUUAAUUGGAAACUAAACAAAGAACAACAGGAGAGGUAAGAAAAAAACAAUAGUAAUAAUAAGGAAUGAAGAAAUUACAAUUGCCUUUUGGAAAUGAGGAUAAGAGGUGGAACGAAUCUGAGAAAGGCGAUAUUUGGAGGCUUCAAUGGUAGACUCCAAAGAGUGGUCGUAGCCCGUUCGUCGUGUAGUAGAAGAGGUACAUGUGGCGUUGGAGUAGGGAGAUGGCCACGAGGGGGCAGUGUCGAUGAUGGACCUCGUCAUCGUCUAGAGAAGGGAGUUCAAGGAGUUCGGAGAUUGGGAGGCGAAUGGGAAGAAAUCUGAAAGGGGAGGCGAAAGGGGAGAAAGGGGAGAAAGUAGAAAGGGGAGGCAAAAGGGGAGAAAGACGAAAGAAAGGGGAAAGGGGAGAAGGGAAUAAGUCAAAAAUCCCUAAAAAAGUUAUUAUUUUUUUUAUAUUAAAUUAUUAUUUUAUUAUUAUUUUAUUUCUAUUUUAUGACAUCAAAUAAUUGUCGCAAAAAAUAUUUUUCGAAAAUUUCCGUUUUUUCCCCCCAAAAACGCGUUUUUUUCCUUUUUGUGACAGUUUUUUUUCCUCCCUCUAUUUUGUGAAAUAAAUAAAUGUCAUAGUAGAUGGUUUUUCUUCUAGUGGUUAUUGAAUUGUUCAGGCAUAUAAUCGUUGUAGUAUUGCUUGAUUUGCAAAAUAUAUAGUUGAACCAGUUGGUAGAUAUUGAGAUUAUUGUUGUUUAUUCAUUUGUGCUUUUGUGAACUAUAAUAUUGGCUUGUGUUUCUUUGACUAAAGUUCUCAACUUGAGAAGCUCUCCCAAUACGUUUACUACACUUGGAAAUUAUAAGUUUCAUAAAUCAUAAAAAAAUUCAAUUAAUGAACUUUAUUGGUUAAGAUUUUUUGUUAUUUCUUGUAGCUUAAUAAAGGGAGGCUUCUUGUUCCGAACGAGUUAUACUCUAUGCUCUCAAAGAAAUCUUCCUUUUUAACUAUGCAUGCUAAAGUGGCAAAUUAACUAACAAAUGAGUUCAUAAACCAUUGUUUAUUACUUCUCAUUCCAAUUCCAAUCCCAUCUGUUUACAUUGAUUUAGUAACUAUAAUUGGGUUCUAAUCGAUAAAAUUAGGUUUUAUGACUUAUGUUUUUGUCGAUGUGAUCUAGGGUCUACUAAUAGCUAAAAUGUAAGCAUAUAUGAUACAUCAAAGGUCCUAUAAAUUACUAAUUUUGUUGCUCAUACAGACUUUCUGAAGCAACAUUGCUUAGUCUUGCUAAUAAGCAGGAUAUAAAACGAGCCAUUAUUUCUUUAGAGGAAAUUGAUAAGGUAAAAAGUUCCUCUUCUAAGCUUUAAGUUCAAUUUUCGCUUUAAUGGGAUCUUUGUUAGCUGAAGAUCUAACUUGAAACCGUUACUCGUUAAUCCCGAUCUAUCUUUCCAUUCUUCGUGCAUAAUGGCAAUUGGCUAACCACCUCAUGAGAUAUUAUUUUAGAACAGUCAUAUGCAUAAAUCAAAGGUUGCACAACAUCUGUAGAGUUAGACUAGUAUAUUACGGAACUUUUAGAGUAAUGACAUGGUCUUAAACACAAACAUUUAGAUCUUAAAUUUAUAAUGAUGUCAUUCACAAGGAGCUAUCACUAAACGAAUGACUGCAAUAGAAGAAUAGAAGAAAUGGCAGCAAUUGAGUACAAUUAAUCAGGGUCUCUUCUUUGUGACAAAAUCUUUAAGUUGGUCAUCUGUGGAGUGUCUUGGCAUUUUAUUGGUUGCAGUUUUUGUUAUUGAUUUCUCAAUGUAUUUUUUCUCUUUUCUUUCUUAUUGCAAAGCAUGAUCAAUGUAAUGAGCCAAUUUGUAUAUAUAAAUGUAUUAAGAUUCCAAAGAUUUCAUUUUUAACUAUUUGGUGUCACAAUAAUACAAUAAUUUUAAAAAAUAGAUUUUAAAAAAAAACGGACCCAGAAAAGAGGACUUUGAUGUUGGUUUCAAAGUCCAACCGAUAUUAAAAGUCUUCAAUAACACUAUUAUCAAAUAUGUCGGUUUAAAAACGACAUGAAAAGUCUUUAAUGUAGGUGAAUGACAUUAAAGACCUUUUAUAACACUAGCAAAAAUGUCCGUUAGGUCAAAUUUCUUCACAUGAUUGUUAGUUCAAAAGAGGUUUUGAUAGUUAGUUUAGUUGGCGAGUGUUGUCAAGUUCGGACAAUUGUCAGCCCACAUCCUCUUUUGUGACCAGGGUGAGUGAAGUAGCUCCAGGACGGGGUGUGACAACAAUUUUACAUCUCGCUAAUUUAAAGAUAUUUAAUUCUUAGUUGCAUGUGAUUGCACACUCGGCUUAACAUUGCAGUGGGGAUUGUUUAGUGAAUGUUUUAAAUAUGAAUCCUUCUCUUGAAAUGGUUUUGAAGUAAAUGCAAUAACAAAUAAAAGGCGCUUGAUGAGGUGGUCGGUUGAUGGUGCUAUGAGACUAGUAGUAUAGACACUUCCACAUUAGUUUAUAUAUCUAAAAGAAUCUUUUUAAUGUGUUUAAUUUAAACAACACAGAACUUGCAACUUUGCUCUUGAUUGAUAAAUCAUUCUUUAAAUGUUCUUUGCUCUUGAUUGAUAAAUCAUUCUUUAAAUGUUUUUCUAAGGAUUUCGAGUUAAAGUUUUGUUUUGACUUCAAAUAAAAUAUUUUCAAUGAUGUUUUAUCAACUAUAUUAAUGCAUGAAAAUUCCAAAUAAACCAUAUUUUAUCCACAAUUGAUUUUAAAUUUAAAUUAUCAUGCAUGUACCAACGUUCCCCUGUCAGUGUUCUUGAAAAGUUGAGACUUUCCAACCAUGAGUUUGAUUAAUUAUCUGAUUUCAUUAAAAAAAAAAAAAAACCGAACAAUAUUAUAUAUAUAAAUAGUCACUCAAACAAAAAAGAAAAAAGAAAAACUCUUAAACUGAAAAGAUCAAAUAAUAGAAAAUAUAUAUUUUUUAGUCCUAAUUUAGUGUUUAUCUUUCCAUGUAGCUGAAGGAACGGAAGGACAAGUUAUUUUCAAAGCCGGAACACCUAAC
rnacentral:lncRNA from 1 species